rnacentral:lncRNA from 1 species
CUAUAUUUGUUGUAUGGAAGAAUUGUCAGCUGUACAUGUCUGUCUGGCAUGGUUCAUCUGACCUUGACCAAGUUUUUUUCCUCCAAACUUUAAUUUUUAUUUUUUAGUAUCAUUGCAAAGUUAUAAAGCAUGGAAAUUGAUAAGAAAGUGUUUGUGGUAAUUGAAAUAGCACUUCAAUCCAACGGAACAAUGUACUAAUAAAAUCUUUUGAAAAUAAUUUGUAUGAUUGUCAAUGAGACAAACUUUCAUCAGAGACCAGAUAUGUUGAGGUAUGUAACCAAUACAGUUCACACACAAUAUAGCCUUCAACACAGCAGUAUAUCCCAUAUACAUAAAGAUCUGAUUGCUAUUAAAUUUUUCUUCCCCCUCCCCCCUUUGGGUGACUGGGGACUAGAAAUACCAGGUCACCAUAGGGCUUUCUCAAACUGUAA